rnacentral:tRNA from 1 species
GACUUCAUAGCUCAGCGGUAGAGCAUACGAUUGCAGUCGUGCUUACGUAAGCCAUUACAAGAGCCACCGAGCAACAUAUCGUAGGGUCCCGUGUUCAAACCACGGUGGGGUCU